UAAACAAUGGUUUCCUUGUUAGAUGACACCAGUAAUCUCCAGUUGCGUCACCCUGGCUCUACAGAGAGAUUUCCCCUCAGACCAAACCCAGCGGCUCUUGCUAGUCACGUCUCAGAAUGGCCGACCCUGUCAGCUUGUGGUACUUUUGGGUGAGAAGCUUUUCUUGAGCUCAUCAAUGCCCGUUCCACCUGGGGUCGCCUUGCAGAUUUUGCAUCUCAGACAUGCUCCUUGGCAGGAGACGGGGAAGCGCAAACCCGCUGGUAAGUAACUUUCCUGGCACAGGCCAAGACCCGUCUGUGUACAGAACGUAGCCAGACCAGGAGGGGCAGACAUCAGGUGGUUCCUUAGGCCAGGACAGCCAGGCCCAGGAGGAAGUGGCUGCUUUGUUCCUUGGCACGGCUUCCUGUCAAAAUAUUUGCUAAGGAAGGGCAGAAGCUUGACUCAGAAUCAACUACACACUCAAGAGGUUCUGCUAAAAGUUGCUCCAAACACAGGAAAGUGUGCAAAACCUUUGGGAGCAAAAGGUGUUCAGUGAGGAAGCUCGGCGGCAGACCUUCACGGAUUCCUGACCCUCCCAUUGCUCGAAGCGGUGGAGCUGAGGAACAGAUGUGGAGCCUCUCCAGGGCUGGGCCCAAGAGACCCAUGGCUUCAAGCACCAGGGCCUGGGCUUUGCACUUGGCAGCCACCGAUCAUCGCCGCUGCCCUGGUGGCCGAAGGCAAAGAGCCCUCACAGCCCUCACCAUCUUCCUCUUCUUGCCACACGUUCCUACUUCUGGCUGUCCAGAUGUUUGCAGCUGCUCCCUGGGGAAAGUAAACUGUGUGGACCGGGGGCUGCGUUUGGUACCUCUCCAGUUGCCUACGAACGCCACCGCCCUCCUGCUGGAACACAACCUCAUCACCACCCUCCAGAACGGCAGCUUUGUGGCCCAGAAAGUCUUGCGCCACUUGAGCCUUCGCAACAAUGUCCUGACCAGCAUUCACCGCCUGGCCCUGGUGGGCCUCCAUGAGCUGCAGGACCUGGACCUGAGCAACAACUCCCUCAGCCUCCUGCACCCAGACACUUUCCUCCCGGUGCCAACCCUGAGGACACUGAUGCUGGGGCACAACAGGCUCCUGAGUCUGGGGCCAGAACUCCCCCGGGCCCUCCCCCAUCUCAGGGCCCUCUUUGUCCACCGCAAUGCAUUGAGCGACCUCCCGGCUGGCUUCUUCGAAAGCCUUCCUUCCUUGUCUUCCCUGACCCUUGAAGGCAAUCCCUGGAUUUGCUCCUGUGGCCUCUGGUCCCUCUUUCUGUGGCUGACGAAGAACAGGGACAAAGUUCCAGAAGACUACAAAGCAUUCGUCAACCUCCUUUGCCCUCUUUUUGGCUUUGAAACUUGCCAAGGGACACGGGGACUGGACUCACUGACUGACUGACUGACUGACUGACUGACCGACUGGACCGACUGACUCUUGACGGACAUGAGGCUAUGGGUCUGGUUCUGCUCUACCACUUUUUCUAUCCUAAAAUGAAUAUGUAUAUAUAAGCGAUUAGAUCUCCAUUGGGCGGCUUGGAUCUCUACACCUAGAUGAACACAGCCCCAUGUCACGAUCCUGGAUACGUCUCUGGUCUGUCUUCUAGGGCCAAGACAAUGCCUACUACCAUCUCCUGAUGGCUCUCGGUCCCAGACACACACGAGGCCCUGACCCUUGGCUCGGGAGCUACGCGAGGGCCGAUCGGUCUGAAGGUCUCCUUCGGAACUAGGUUGAGAUGUGGAAGGGAUCCCCUUAAGGAGGGCAUUGGGGGGUGCGUGGGUGGGGCAGAGCCAGCAGCUGGCUUUCCACUGCAUUUGAUGCACUCCAGAUGCCUCGUCUGCUCCACUGGCCACCCCAGGAGAGAGACAGACACGGCGUCCGGGGUCCCUAGGGGAACAUCUCACACCCUUCCUUCCUUCCUUCCUUCCUUCCUUCCUUCCUGUCACGGCUGUCCUAACUAGAGAGAGAGGUGAGACACUUUUCACCUACCACUAAAUAAAAAUGCUCGGGGCCUUUUCUGAAGGUGAAUCCUACGGCCACAAGAGAGAGAGAGGACUGCAUUGGAAGAGAAGGUCAUUGUAUGUUAAAAAAAAGUAUUCCGAAAAUUUCAGCGAUGCUUGGCGUAAAACUCGAACUUGUUUUUCCAACAUAAAA